CGCAAGUUACCAACCAACCAAUCUGUGGAGACUACUGGACGCAUUACUGGCUUGGGAAGGUCAUGCAGCCUCAAUAUUAUGGAAGGUUUAGCUUUGCAUUACACAAAACAUUAAUUUAAUACCAAAAGAAAACCAAACGCAACCCAACCGAAAGGGAGAUGAGCCUGUAAGCCCUUAAGAUCAGACUGACUCAUUACCACCUGCUGAAAUGGUUGUUAGGCAGUCAAGUCCAGAUGGAGAGUAAACAGGUAGAAGUGGGAGCAGCAGCCCUGAGGCAGGAAAUAGAUGUGGAAGCUGCUAAUGCACAGUUUGCUAUUAAAUGUGCCACCUGUGAGUUA